CACACACGGGGGGUGGGGGGCGUGUCAGGCCCGCCCCCCAUGACGGAAGCGGAGACUGCGGGCGGCGCCGCGGCAGAUCCUGGUUCUGCUUUUCUACAUUUCCAACAUGAAAUGCAAGAAUGCUCAGGCCUGAGAGAGCUUUGACCACAAGACACAGGUGAGUUCCCAGGUGGGAUUGAUGUAUGUGUGUAUAUAGAAUUGGAGGUGAUGACAUUCUUCAUUCCUUUUGCAGACUAAGCUGACCUCCAUCCUGAGAUUCGUCCUGGUCAAUGAAGAUGACCUGUCCCUUGAUGACGAACUCAUCCACUUCCUGCAGGAGAAAGGUGAUAACUGGGGCUGGUGUACUGAGAUGAGGAAAAUAAUUCUUCUAUAUCUGGUGGCCUCUGUUCCACACUAUGCUGGACCUACUUGGCUAAUAAAAUCUGUCACAUUGUAAA